AAGCAGCAUGCAUGGCCUUCAAGAUAAAUAAUCUAAAUGAUUAUAUGUUUAGAUAAUGGCAUCAACUGCACCUACAUCAUGUGGACCUUGUAAAAAAAUAGGAGAAACUAUUUCAGCUGACUUCUGGUGUUAUAACUGUGAUGAAGGAUUUUGCUCAACAUGUUCCAACCAUCACAAAAGAUUCAAUGGAAUAGAGGAUUACAAAAUCAUCGAUAUUAAAACCAUCAAUCCGACAAAACUAUAUAGAAUGUGACAAACAUGGAAACCAGCUUUAUUUGUACUGCGCAAAUCAUUUAGUACCUUGCUGUGAAGAAUGUAAUUCCACUAGCCAUUCUAAAUGUACUGGAAUAAAAACAUUAACUAGUGUAGUGGAGAGAACUAAAAUUGAAAAAAUGAAAGAAUCUGUAGCACGUGUAGAGCGAGAUAUCGAUUAUGUCUCAAAUAUUUGUGAAUAAAUAUUGAAUAUGAAAUUAAAAAACGUCAAACAGGUGAAGACCAGUAUUUAGGCACUAAGAAAUCAAUUGAAGAUAUUCGGAAGGAAAUAAAUAAACAUUUAGACAAACUAAAGGAGAAAAUAUGUCAAAAAGCAGAAACUAUUUGGAAUCAGGAAAAAUCAGCAGCCAUGCACAGAUUUCAUUUCUGAAGUUGAAGGAAGAACGAAAAGCUUGAAGGAAAUUAAAGCCAAUGUGCCAACAGUCAUGUCACAUGCCUCAAAACUCCAAUCAUUUUUAUGUCUACAUCAGAUUAAACAACAAGUAUAUAAAUGUCAACGAUGUAUUGAAGACUGGGAAACAGAUGAGAAGGUUAGAGAAUUUGACAUCAAACUGGCGCAAUAUAGUAAAUUAGAAAAUAUAUUAAGCAAAUUUUAAUCGUUAGAAAGCUUAGGGGAAGUAAAAGUUACUAGAACAGAACCCUCACUGUACGUGGGAACAGGCA
rnacentral:lncRNA from 1 species